UACGGAGGAUCCAAGCGUUUAUCCGGAUUUAUUGGGUUUAAAGGGUGCGUAGGCGGAAUAGUAAGUCAGUGGUGAAAGCCUGUUGCUUAACAACAGAACUGCCAUUGAUACUGCUAAUCUUGAGUACAUUUGAUGUGGGCGGAAUGUGUCAUGUAGCGGUGAAAUGCAUAGAUAUGACACAGAACACCGAUUGCGAAGGCAGCUCACAAAAACUGUAAACUGACGCUGAGGCACGAAAAGCGUGGGGGAUCGAACAGG
rnacentral:rRNA from 1 species